rnacentral:misc_RNA from 1 species
AAAAUGCGAUAAGUAAUGUGAAUUGCAGAAUUCAGUGAAUCAUCGAAUCUUUGAACGCACAUUGCGCCCGCCAGUAUUCUGGCGGGCAUGCCUGUCUGAGCGUCAUUUCAACCCUCGGGACCCCGUUCGCGGGACCCGGCGUUGGGGAUCAGCCCGAAGCCCCCAGGGCGGGCGGCUGGCCCCGAAAUCUAGUGGCGGUCCCUCCGCGACCUCCCCUGUGCAGUAGCGAUACCUCGCAGCGGGACAGCGGUCUGACCACGCCGUAAAACCCCCAACUUCUCAAGGUUGACCUCGAAUCAGGUAGGAAUACCCGCUGAACUUAAGC